CCACGUAUCAUGAUUAUUCUUUAUGUAAUUAGUUUUGGAGCGCAUACAGCAGUUUCCUGCAACAAAGAUUCAUAAGUGGGGUUUCAUAUUUGACGUAAGUAUAAGGUCUGUCAGUUCCUGACCCCACAUAUUGUGCACAAACAUCACGUACCAGCAUCUUCCCUGUAGCUUGGAAUCGAGUCAGGAAAAUGUCCUUGGCUCCAGAAGAACUUUGAGUAUGGUUUGGACACCGGGAGGCUGGGCUUGCAGCCAGUCUCGGUGCCCUUUGCCACUUCCUGCUAAGGACGAGAGUCUUUGGGCAUCGAUGCCUUUAGAAACCUGGGCCUAUGAAUAAGUAGAGAAGCUGCAUUUAGCUGCAUUUUCCUCCACCCCGGCUCUGAAGCUUUGCUGCAGCGUAGAUGCCCUGUCUGAACGGAGCACAAGAAAGUCAAAUGUGAUAAGCAACAAAAAGAGGAGGCACCCACAACGCCUUCCACUUCCUGGAGAAAGCUUCCCUCCACCAACGCCUUUGCUGCCUGCCAAGGAGUCCAGCCCUGUGUGCUGCAGUUUUCAGGUUCUCUGUCGUUUCAGCAACCGUGGACUCCAGAGAUAAAGCUGGCUGGAGAAAUAUGAGAAUAAAUCCUCCCUAACUCGCCGCCAGCCCAGCCUGUGCAGUCCAGCAGCAGCACCUGCAGUGUCCAGCUCUGCAUCCCAGCGGGGUGAUUUCCAGUCGGGGAAAAUCAGGAUGCGUGAAACCCAGCCUUCCACGGCAGAGGAGGAUAAAGGUCCCCAGAGUCACCAACUUAUCUGCUGCCGGACUGUGUACGUGAGCUCUCAGAACUUCAAUUAAUUUCCGGGGGCGGGGGGAUGCCACACAUCUGGAGGUGAGCUGCUGACAAGUGCCUGGAGAUUUGGCCCAUCAAGGGUCAUCGUGAGACACGAGCACAGUCCUGCUGCUCUGGUGGGAACACGGGGAUGCACACUGGAGUGGAGAGGCCCUCUUCUUACUGCAGACAGUGUUGGACUUGAGGGUGGCCCUCAAGAUAGGCUGCGAUGUGUGCAUUGACUUCCCUUAGAAUCUGAGAAAGACUGGGACCUUGAUUCAGCACCGAUUAGGCGUGUCUUCCUAGGAUGGGUCAUAAAGACAUAAGAAUUAAUGGGUUGAUAUUAACAGCAAUAUAGAAACACAUCUAUACUUAAAUAGAUACAUUGAUAAUCUAUAGGUUAAUGUAUAAAUUGAUGUACAAAUUUAUGAAUAAUGCAUGCAUAAUUUACAUAAAACAUGAACAUAUACCUUAUCUAUAGUAGUUCUAAUUUUAUCAUUACAUAAAAUGGGUCAUUCAUAUACCAUGCAAUUAUAUAACUCUGUCAUGGUUUAUACAAUCUAUAAAUUUAUCUAUUAGUGUAUAAUCUAGAAACAUAUAUUACUAUAUUGUGAACAUAUUUGUAGAUUAUAUUAUGAUAUAAUCUAGAGACAUAUCAAUAUAUUUAUAAAUUAUAUCACUAUAUGGGUAGAUCAUUACGUGAUAGGUAAGUGAGCAGGAGCUCAUGAAGUCAUCCAGUUGCACAGGUGGGACUCAAAAGUCCCUCUUCUCCAUCCUCCCUCCCCUGUUGUCCCUCUCCUGUUCCACAGGAGCCUGCCCCCCUUAGCAGGUUGAUGUUGUAUUUCACUGAGAGAAGUUGCAGUGUAGCCCCUGGAAAGAUGCACAAGGGAAUUUCUCCUAGUCCAGGCCUUUUCAGAUGCACUGUGGGACCCUGGUGUUCUCCGCAUGUUGAUCUUAUUUCCAGAAACAUAAAUCCGCAGUUCUUAGCUUUCGGUGGUGCUCACGAGAGUUCCCAAGGGAGCUUGUUAAACACGCAUAUCCUCUGGCUUCCGCCCAAGAUUCUGAGUCAGAAGCCGGGCUGGUGUCCAGGAACCCACAGGCCUCACAGUUGUUCUCCAGUGUUAAAAAGGAAGAUGAGGAUUUUCAUGACGCAGCUGCCUGGAAGUACUGUCGUCUGGAUCCAACUGCCAAGCACACUGGCUAGACCCAGCCCAGCGGCCCAACUCCAGUAAGAAUGCUAGUAACACACCAAAGGAUGGAGCUCCAGUAAUGCCCCAGGUGUCUUCGAAGAAAGUUCCUCUGACAGCCUCGCCACUUCCAGGGCUGGCAUCCUAAAUAGCAUUACAAAAUAGUACGGAGUCGUGACUACGUUCCCAAAGCAUUGAAGUGGUGUACAGCGGAGCUCCCUCCCCAAGACGGAGAAGAAGGACUCACAACUGCCAUUUACUGGUUCUGAACAGACAGUGGGAAGAUGCAGCAGGAGCCAAGAGGCCAGACCACCAGCCCUGGGAUCCCCUGAACAUCGAGCAGCUCCUUUGUCCCCACUGAGCACGAGAAGCAAAAGCACCAAAGCCAAAGUGCACUUGCUGAGUUCUUCUGUUCCAGUUCUCAGACUGUGCACUGGACCCAAAUGGAGGCAAGGGCACCUGGAGGAGGGCCCAAAAGCCUGUGGAAACUUUCUUCAGCUCCAAAGUGAGGUGGGCUGUAAAAGGCUCUAGUCAACAGCUUUUGUGAAUAACCUACUACUAUGGUGGACUGCUGGACUGUGUUGGAUUGUUUUGCUGAAUCCAAGCACCUAUAAUAUUUAGAAGCCAAUAGAAUACCCAACAGGACU